UCUUGUGCGUAUUCAAUCCCGCGACACUGCAAUCGCUUCGACGACAUUCCGCAAGGUUGUCUAGGAGUGUUGUUGUUGUGCUCGUUGGAUGCAUUUGCGUGCGGAGUGCGCCGAGUGGGUCGAUGUCGCUGCCGGAAGGGCGUAUAGAGGACUCGGGUUUUCGGACUCGAGAAUCCUGUGCGUUCGGAUAGCAGGUGAUGUUGGCUCGCUGUUGUGGAGUGCGGGUGAAUUCGCGAUGGGCGUCGGUUGUGAGUUGUGGUUGCGGAUGGCACAUGUGUCUUCCGUUUCCGCGGCCUACGAUCGGCGUUCGUUGCCCCGGCACUCGACUCGGUGUAUAGUCGGUCACCCAUUCGACCCGUCUUGAAACACGGACCAAGGAGUUUAAGGUGUACGCGAGUCAUUGAGCUGCGAAACUCAAAGGCGUAAUGAAAGUGAGACAUUGGAUGUCGACGAUGUGAGCGUUGGGCGUUUCGACGUCCGGCGCGCAACAUCGCCCCGUGACUAGGACUUGUUCUGUUGCGGAGGUUGAGCGUACGCUUUGAGACCCGAAAGAUGGUGAACUAUGCCCGAACAGGAUGAAGCCAGAGGAAACUCUGGGGAAG
rnacentral:rRNA from 1 species